rnacentral:rRNA from 1 species
AUUGAACGCUGGCGGCAGGCCUAACACAUGCAAGUCGAGCGAGCGGCGGACGGGUGAGUAAUGUAUGGGGACUGCCCGAUAGAGGGGGAUAACUACUGGAAACGGUGGCUAAUACCGCAUACUAUCGGAUAACCCAUAUGGGCUUAGCUAGUAGGGGGGGUAAAGGCUCACCUAGGCGACGAUCUCUAGCUGGUCUGAGAGGAUGAUCGGCACCACUGGGACGGGGACACGGCCCAGACUCCUACGGAGGUAGCAGUGGGGAAUAUUGCACAAUGGGCGAAAGCCUGAUGCAGCGACGCCGCGUGGGGGAUGAAGGCUUUCGGGUUGUAAACCUCUUUCGCUAUCGAACGGGUAGGUGGAGAAGAAGCACCGGCUAACUCCGUGCCAGCAGCCGCGGUAAUAC